rnacentral:rRNA from 1 species
AAUGAACGCUGGCGGUAGGCCUAACACAUGCAAGUCGAACGGCAGCACAGUAAGAGCUUGCUCUUACGGGUGGCGAGUGGCGGACGGGUGAGGAAUACAUCGGAAUCUACUUUUUCGUGGGGGAUAACGUAGGGAAACUUACGCUAAUACCACAUACGACCUACGGGUGAAAGCAGGGGAUCUUCGGACCUUGCGCUAUUGAAUGAGCCGAUGUCGGAUUAGCUAGUUGGCGGGGUAAAGGCCCACCAAGGCGACGAUCCGUAGCUGGUCUGAGAGGAUGAUCAGCCACACUGGAACUGGGACACGGUCCAGACUCCUACGGGAGGCAGCAGUGGGGAAUAUUGGACAAUGGGCGCAAGCCUGAUCCAGCAAUACCGCGUGGGUGAAGAAGGACUUCGGGUUGUAAAGCCCUUUUGUUGGGAAAGAAAAGCAGCAGGUUAAUACCCCGCUGUUCUGACGGUACCCAAAGAAUAAGCACCGGCUAACUUCGUG